rnacentral:rRNA from 1 species
GAUGAACGCUGGCGGCAUGCCUAACACAUACAAGUCGAUCGGUAAGGCUCUUCGGAGUACACGAGAGGCGGACGGCUGAGUAACGCGUAGGAACACACCCUGCAGUGAGGGAUAAGACACCGAAAGGUGUUCUAAUACCGCAUACGGUCUUCGGAUUAAAGCAUUUAUGCGCUGAAGGAGUGGCCUGCGUCAUAUUAGAUAGUUGGUGAGGUAAUGGCUCACCAAGUCGAUGAUGUGUAGCUGGUCUGAGAGGAUGAUCAGCCAGACUGGAACUGAGACACGGUCCAGACUCCUACGGGAGGCAGCAGUGAGGAAUAUUUCACAAUGAGCGAAAGCUUGAUGGAGCAAUGCCGCGUGCAGGAUGAAGGCCCUCGGGUUGUAAACUGCUUUUAUAAGAGAAGAUUAUGACGGUAACUUAUGAAUAAGGGACGGCUAACUACGUG